rnacentral:rRNA from 1 species
CAGUCGCCACGGGAAUACAGAGGGUGCGAGCGUUAAUCGGAUUUACUGGGCGUAAAGCGUGCGUAGGCGGCUUCUUAAGUCGGAUGUGAAAUCCCUGAGCUUAACUUAGGAAUUGCAUUCGAUACUGGGAAGCUAGAGUAUGGGAGAGGAUGGUAGAAUUCCAGGUGUAGCGGUGAAAUGCGUAGAGAUCUGGAGGAAUACCGAUGGCGAAGGCAGCCAUCUGGGACAACACUGACGCUGAGGCACGAAAGCGUGGGGAGCAAACAGGAUUAGAUACCCGUGUAGUCCCUGUCUCUUAUAA